CCACCAGAUUGCAUGUCAGCCUGGGGGAAGAGGACACCUGCACUUGUCACUCAUACCUGCACAGCUUCUGAUGAGGACCCCAGUCUGCCUGCAGCCUGCUGGUGAUGCCCAGAAGUUAGGACCCUGGCCCCAGGAUGCUGCCAGCCUGCCCUGCAGGGAGGGAAGAAACAGAAAGGGUUACUCUGCUGAUCACUGGGGCUUAAGGAUGCCCCAAUGCCUCACCCUGCCAAAAACUGACCCCCCUUGACCCUCCAAUCCAAAUCAUUUCCCUCUACAAUAAAUAUCUCAUCACACCGUUUA